rnacentral:rRNA from 1 species
UGAACGCUGGCGGCAGGCCUAACACAUGCAAGUCGAGCGGAUGAAGGGAGCUUGCUCCUGGAUUCAGCGGCGGACGGGUGAGUAAUGCCUAGGAAUCUGCCUGGUAGUGGGGGAUAACGUCCGGAAACGGGCGCUAAUACCGCAUACGUCCUGAGGGAGAAAGUGGGGGAUCUUCGGACCUCACGCUAUCAGAUGAGCCUAGGUCGGAUUAGCUAGUUGGUGGGGUAAAGGCCUACCAAGGCGACGAUCCGUAACUGGUCUGAGAGGAUGAUCAGGCACACUGGAACUGAGACACGGUCCAGACUCCUACGGGAGGCAGCAGUGGGGAAUAUUGGACAAUGGGCGAAAGCCUGAUCCAGCCAUGCCGCGUGUGUGAAGAAGGUCUUCGGAUUGUAAAGCACUUUAAGUUGGGAGGAAGGGCAGUAAGUUAAUACCUUGCUGUGUUGACGUUACCAACAGAAUAAGCACCGGCUAACUUCGUG